rnacentral:rRNA from 1 species
GUCCAUGCCGUAACGAUGUCUACUAGCCGUUGGGCCUUGAGGCUUUAGUGGCGCAGCUAACGCGAUAAGUAGACCGCCUGGGAGUACGGUCGCAAGACUAAACUCAAAUGAAUUGACGGGCCCGCACAAGCGGUGGAGCAUGUGGUUAAUUCGAUGCAACGCGAAGAACCUUACCUGGUCUUGACAUAGUAAGAACUUUCCAGAGAUGGAUUGGUGCCUUCGGGAAUUUACAUACAGGUGCUGCAUGGCUGUCGU